UACGUAGGUGGCAAGCGUUGUCCGGAAUUAUUGGGCGUAAAGCGCGCGCAGGCGGUCCUUUAAGUCUGAUGUGAAAGCCCACGGCUCAACCGUGGAGGGUCAUUGGAAACUGGGGGACUUGAGUGCAGAAGAGGAAAGCGGAAUUCCACGUGUAGCGGUGAAAUGCGUAGAGAUGUGGAGGAACACCAGUGGCGAAGGCGGCUUUCUGGUCUGUAACUGACGCUGAGGCGCGAAAGCGUGGGAAGCGAACAGG
rnacentral:rRNA from 1 species